GCUCUGAUUGGUUUGUGCAUUCAUACGGGUGAGAGGCUUAGAGAUUGGUUCUUUGUGUCUUUGCUUCAUUUCAUUUAUUUGGUCUGAUAGCAUAAGCUUCUCUUCUCUCUCUGAGCCCAAUCCUUCCAUCUUCUGUAAAUGGGUCUCUUUAGGAUUUUCGGUGCCAACACCCCUCCUCCCCUCAAUUUGGAGGGGUGAGGAAGCACAACCCGACUUGGGAAGAAUGGAGUGAUGAAGAGGUCCAGUGAGCGGCUUAGUGAAGACAUCAGCGAUUUGAGAUUUAGAAGGAACAAAAGUGAGUAAAAUUAAGCCGGCCAAGAACUGUUGUCAAAUAAAAUGGCCGUCCAAAUCCACAUGCUUAGUCCUUUCGUGAAAAAUGGGAUUUUUGGCUAUGUAGAUUGCUGCUUGGCUAUCGGAAUGAAGGGAAACAGACAGUAAUAGAGAAUUGAUAAAUCUGCAAGGAGCCGAACACGCCAAGUAAUUUCAGCUACUAUACGCCUCAUAGAUCGAUAUUCGGCCUCAGCGGAUGAAAGAGAUAUUAAAGAUUAUUUCUUGGACUUCCAAGAAAUGGGAGAACUGCCGAGACUGAUGUAGAACCCACUAACUGACCGGCGUGAAUCGGGGCAAGUAGCCCAGUCGGAGUCACAAAAUGCCAAUAAUUUUAGUGAAGGAUCCGAGUUCAGGAAGAGUCCUAUAUCAGGAGUAGAAAGUAGAUAUCGGAGAGAAUGAAUGGCUGCACCGAAAUGAGGUCCGCGGGGACUCUACAUCUACUGACUGAGGUGUUGAACGGCAAAUGAAAGAUUUGGCCGAGUAUUAGUUAAAAAAUUAAGCUUUCCUAGUAACCAGUGAUAUACAGUUGGAUCUGGUAGAAGCUCACCAACAUCUCCCCUAAGCUUUGAGGAUGGAUCGAGUGGAGAAGAAGCCGACCGUAAAUCAAAGCAUUCAAAUUCAGAUAAGAGCUUUAAGGACCUGAGACAGGUGCUAUAGUUGAACCUAUCGGCGCGCACCCACGAUAUCCAGUGGCUUAGUGAUGGUGAGAACGCGCUCCAACGAGGCUCCAGACAAGGGAAGAGCUACUUCCCCAGUUGUUAGAGGCCGAGGGUGGGCUCCAGCUCGUGGUAGGGGACGAGGACGUCCUAGGACUGUUCCAAUUAGGCUGCCAGUGGGUCCAGCAUAGGAUCCCAUCAUUGAGGAACAGGGCAAGGUGCCUGUGGCAGAGCCAACUCCGGUGGAUUUCAAAUCUGCACCGGGAUUCUAGGAUGUCAUGGGUCGUAUGC